UAAUAGAGCGUCGCAAUGACUCUCGGCAACGGAUAUCUCGGCUCUCGCAUCGAUGAAGAACGUAGCGAAAUGCGAUACUUGGUGUGAAUUGCAGAAUCCCGCGAACCAUCGAGUCUUUGAACGCAAGUUGCGCCCGAAGCCUUUCGGCCGAGGGCACGUCUGCCUGGGCGUCACGC
rnacentral:rRNA from 1 species